rnacentral:ncRNA from 1 species
GCCUGCUGGCAGUCAGGGGUUCAAAUCAAUCCUUUUUAAUCCUUCGAUGUCGGGUGAACCUGUCGCCAUGAAGCAGAACUCACCAGGCGUUAGGCUGUUUGUCCACUAAUAGGGAACAUGAGCCAGGUUUAGACCAUCGUGAGACAGGUC